rnacentral:misc_RNA from 1 species
AACGCACCUUGCGCCCUUUGGCCAUUCCGAAGGGCAUGCCUGUUUGAGUAUCAUGAACACCUCAACUCUUCACAGCUUGCUGUGGUGAGCUUGGACUCUGGGGGUUUUGCUGGCUCACUUGGAUCAGCUCCCCUCAAAUGAAUCAGCUUUCCAGUGUUUGGUGGCGCCACGGGUGUGAUAACCAUCUACGCUUGUUGGUUCUGCUGCCAGGCAACUCCUUCUGGGGGUUCGCUGGAGCUCACAAAUGUCUUUCUUACAAAAAGACGGCUCUUUGAAUGUUUGAUCUCAAAUCAGGUAGGACUACCCGCUGAACUUAA